rnacentral:lncRNA from 10 species
CACAGGCGUGUCGUGACUGAUGCAGCGGGGCAAGGAAGACCUGGUCUCCUUUCCAUACCUGUGGAUUUUUCCAUGAGGAUGCCAAGCUCAGCUUCGAUCUCUCGGUGCAUGGAGUCAUUGGUAACGGCCAGAACCCACAGCAGCAGGACCUGAGGAGGUUCAAACAGACCAGGAGACCCUACGGAAACCUCUCGUGCUGCACAUAAACAUGGGGAAUUAGUUUGACUGGCGUGAGGAUCAUGUCCUCCCUCUCAACCCCACUUCCUGACUUGUGCCUGAUCCUAAAGUCAGCGUCUGCCUAGUGCCUGGUCAGUUUCUAGGGCUGUGACUUUUUGCCAUGAAAAGGCAGCGGUGUCCUUCCGCCUUCUGGUAGGACUUUCACUUCUGACACCAGGGAGGGCAAAUUGGUGGCCUUUCUUAUUCUGACCCUGAUUGGUUGGGAAAUGAUUGCCUAAAAUGUCUUGUAGAGAAGCAUCCUGAGGCUGUGUCUGGGCUUGGUAGGGAAGAAUGGUGUGAUCUGAAACAAUACUGUAUUAUGGGAACAUACAAGCACCUAUAUGAUUACUUUUAAAAGGUCUAGACCAGCAGUCCCCUCCCCAACUUUUUUGGCACCAGGGAGCAGUUUCGUGGAAGACAAUUUUUCCAUGGAUGGAGGGUGGAGGGAUGGUUUCGGGAUGAAACUGUUCCACUUCAGAUCAUUGGGUAUUAGAUUCUCAUGAGGAGUGGGCAACCCCUAGAUCCCUCACAUGUGCAGUU